rnacentral:misc_RNA from 1 species
CUAGAUAUUUGUGACUCUAAAGUUCUUUACUAGAUACACUGAUCGAGUAAAUUCUUGCCAACUAACUACCUUCUAAUAAAAAUGUGAAUGUCACCUCAAGAGCAGCUGGACUUGACCCAGUGGUUAGCGUGUCCAAAGGUUCAGGCUGAGAUAUCACCGAAGAAGUGGGUGCCAGUCAAUCCUGUUAUUGGGUUCAAAGUUGCCCUUAGUAGGUGUUGCUAAGUGACUGCCUUUUAUCUUGCCAGUAGUUCAGAAUUGGGGGGCUACAAUACCUAAACCCCAAGGAUCUAUGACCCGGCCGUUUAGUCCCCGUGUGCAUAAGAUGACGUUCAUAUUGAAGAUACAAGUGAAUGUCAUUUCUGGCUUUAUAAUCACUACUCUGGCAGUCUGCAAAUUUGGUAUUUCAGAUUCGUUGUGUGUUUCUCAAAUCUACGAUAAAAUAAAUGAUUUUUUAUGUAUAUUUGUUUGAAGUGGUUAUUAUAGAAAAACCGAACUAGCAUUGGUAAUUACAAUUAAGUUUGUAAAAAAGGUAUUAUUGUAUCAUAAAUUGUAUGCAUGUAAUUGACCGGAACUGAUUACAGAAGCAAUUUAAUUGUCAUAUAACUCAAUUUUUUUUCUUCUACAACGAAACUGAAACACAUACCUAUGAACACGUGUUAGUUUAUUUCAAAUAAA